rnacentral:rRNA from 1 species
UACGAAGGGGGCUAGCGUUGCUCGGAAUCACUGGGCGUAAAGCGCACGUAGGCGGCUUUCUAAGUCAGGGGUGAAAUCCUGGAGCUCAACUCCAGAACUGCCUUUGAUACUGGAGAGCUUGAGUCCGGAAGAGGUGAGUGGAACUCCGAGUGUAGAGGUGAAAUUCGUAGAUAUUCGGAAGAACACCAGUGGCGAAGGCGGCUCACUGGUCCGGUACUGACGCUGAGGUGCGAAAGCGUGGGGAGCAACAGGG